UACGUAGGGGGCAAGCGUUGUCCGGAAUCAUUGGGCGUAAAGCGCGUGUAGGCGGUUCGGUAAGUCUGCUGUGAAAGUCCAGGGCUCAACCCUGGGAUGCCGGUGGAUACUGUCGGGCUAGAGUACGGAAGAGGCGAGUGGAAUUCCCGGUGUAGCGGUGAAAUGCGCAGAUAUCGGGAGGAACACCUGUGGCGAAAGCGGGCUCACUGGACCACAACUGACGCUGAGGCGCGAAAGCUAGGGGAGCAAACAGG
rnacentral:rRNA from 1 species